UUUCUCUCUUUUCUCCCCUCUCUUCGUUCGCCAAAGUCAUUCUCCAUAUUUGAAAAUACUGCGCAGGAAAAUAAAAUUGUAAAAAAAAAUAAAAGGCUAAAUGUUUUCACGGUCUUCAAUUAACUUUUCCCGUCAUCACGACCGUCAAUUUGAUGAUGAUUUGAAAUUUCAAAAAAGAAAUCAAAAGGUGUUGGUGUUGUUUUUCUUCAAAUGAAAAUAUGACGCGGGCGAUCUAGAUAGAAUAAUGAAGACGUGGGAUUCUUUUUGAUAUUUUCGCGUCCCCGACCUUGGCUCCGAAUCGUGACCGCCAUUCCUUUUUGUUCGUUUUUCUUUUGCUUUAUUUUUUCCUUUCCCGAUUCACGGGACGCCCAUUGCCAAGCCAUUUUUUUUUUCCCGCUCACUUUUUCUUCUUCUUCUUCUUCUUCUUCUUCGUCGGGUUUUUUCGGUUUGGUUUGCUUUUGCCAUUUUAUUCUUCUUCUGGCUUCUUCUUGCACCAGCCAAUCACCGUUAAAACCGCUCGGCAAACGGGCGAUCUGGAUUAGGCGUGUACACUACAGCGUGGCAAGGCGCUCUACUUUUACUUUUUCCUUGUGUUUCUUUCUUUGAUUUUGAAAUGGAAUAUCAUUUUUUCUGCAUCUCUUUCACAAGGGAAAGUUUAAUUCGAUUUUUCUUCUCCCAAACUCAAUGCAACGGGGGGGGGGGGGGGAUUUAUUUGGAAGAUGACUCGGUGUAAUAACAAAGAAGUAAACCGGAUAGAUUUUGUUUAUUCUUUUUUAGAUUUUCUUCUAGACGGGCAGUCGGCCAAAGUCGUGGCGACGCCGACCAGUCGCUUCGCGGUCAUGUCCUUUCUGUCGUGUCGUCGUGAAAGAAAAGAACCAAAAUGGCCUAAUACUUUUGAUUUGAUUUCUUCCAACCAAACCAAACAUUUGGCAAUCAAGAAAACAAACAAACAAAGCAGCUGACUGACUGACUGACUGACGUGCCGUGAUUACGCAAGGCCCGCGCGGACUCUCUCCCUCUAAUGAACCAAGAGUGUUGGGAUGAAUUUCCUGGAAUCCGGGUUCUAUAGAUAAAGACCUCCCGGACGUGUCUAAUUGCGAAAUUUGAAUGUUUAAUUUGUCUUUCGACUCGUUCGACGAGGGUGAAAGAUUCAAUAGCCUUCCGUGCCGCUGUCUUCAUGAACGCAUCGAAAAAUUUAAAAAUAAAAAGGACAUUCCGUCUGCCGUGAUGUAAUAAAAACAUUUUGCUCCUUUUUACUUUCAUUUUUUAUGUGUGUCUGUCCUGUCCCCUUCAAAAUGUUA